UACGGAGGGUGCAAGCGUUAUCCGGAUUCACUGGGUUUAAAGGGUGCGUAGGUGGGCAGUUAAGUCAAUGGUGAAAUCUCCGGGCUUAACCCGGAAACUGCCAUUGAUACUAUCUGUCUUGAAUACCGUGGAGGUGAGCGGAAUAUGUCAUGUAGCGGUGAAAUGCUUAGAUAUGACAUAGAACACCAAUCGCGAAGGCAGCUCACUACACGAAUAUUGACACUGAGGCACGAAAGCGUGGGGAUCAAACAGG
rnacentral:rRNA from 1 species